rnacentral:lncRNA from 1 species
GCAAACCCGAGUGGGUUCCUGCCAUCACCCAACAUCCCUCCCGUGUGAAGUAAUGCCCUCCUCAUCCCGCAAAGUUUCUUGGAAAGCAGAGAGGGGCAACCUCAAGAAAUGUCCUGAAAUAAUCCAGAAUGAAUGCCUAUAGAAUGCAAAUUACACUUUUUCUGUCAGAGAUGAACCUUUCAGACCACGUUCUGAGGCAGACACCCUAGCACUGUUUCUACCCGUCUUCCCUUGAGACAGGGAUAUAAUUAAAUGCAACCAGCAACAUCAUGAAAACGGUAGAAGAAAUUCAAACAAUAACUAUGUUAACUGGAAAUGGCUUAUUGUUCAGUGAAAAACAGCUGAUCUCCAUCAGAAACAGACACUUUAAUUGCCAGUGCUUACUGUGGCCAAGAAAGAAAAGGAAAUUCCAUAAGAAAGGGGUUUUCCCUUUACUAAAUGCAGUUUCUUUCCUAGAAAUGCAGGGAAAAUGGCUCUCUGCCACAUCUUGCCUGAAGACCAUACAUAUAUCACUGGAGGUCAGAGGAAGAGAUGACACACGCUGGCAUCAGGCAGGAUUUAUGGAAAGCUGCUCCUGUGACAGUCGUCUCCUACAUGACCUCUUGCAGUUCCUUCUAAGACUUCUUUCUUUUACUCCUUGUAAAUAUUCCUGGUGCAGAGGCAUUGAAAUAUUACAAAAAAAUAUUUGUAUACUCAUAAGGCAGAUGGAUGUGCUAAUUUCUCCAUGA